rnacentral:rRNA from 1 species
AGUGAACGCUGGCGGUAGGCCUAACACAUGCAAGUCGAACGGCAGCACAGUAAGAGCUUGCUCUUACGGGUGGCGAGUGGCGGACGGGUGAGGAAUACAUCGGAAUCUACUUUUUCGUGGGGGAUAACGUAGGUAAACUUACGCUAAUACCGCAUACGACCUACGGGUGAAAGCAGGGGAUCUUCGGACCUUGCGCGAUUGAAUGAGCCGAUGUGGGAUUAGCUAGUUGGCGGGGUAAAGGCCCACCAAGGCGACGAUCCGUAGCUCGUCUGAGAGGAUGAUCAGCCGCACUGGAACUGAGCCACGGUCCAGACUCCUACGGUAGGCAGCAGUGGGGAAUAUUGGACAAUAGGCGCAAGCCUGAUCCAGCCAUACCGCGUGGGUGAAGAAGGCCUUCGGGUUGUAAAGCCCUUUUGUUGGGAAAGAAAAGCAGCAGGUUAAUACCCCGCUGUUCUGACGGUACCCAAAGAAUAAGCACCGGCUAACUUCGUG